GGCAGGUGAGGUCCCCAGACAUAUAGAGCAUGAUUGAGGGCCCGUGUCCAGUCUCCUCUCGAGUCCAGCAGCCAUGGGUCAACCAGGCAGGCAGCUAUCUAUAAUUAUGCUACAAUGUAUGUGUACAUGUACAGAGGUAAACAUCAUGAACAUUACAAAGGUAAGCAUUAUAAAUAAAAAAUGAAUUUUAAGCCUAUGUCAUAUUCGUUUUCUCUGUAGAUACCACGACGAUGGUACUCAUUGCAUUACUAUCCUCGUCCUUGACGUCUGCUGAAUCACCUAUCACAUUAUUGCGAGUUUGAUAACAUCUAGAUCUACAUAGGGAAAAUCCAUAAUUG